rnacentral:rRNA from 1 species
UACGAAGGGGGCUAGCGUUGUUCGGAAUUACUGGGCGUAAAGCGUACGUAGGCGGAUUGUUAAGUGAGGGGUGAAAUCCCGAGGCUCAACCUCGGAACUGCCUUUCAUACUAGCAAUCUUGAGUCCGGGAGAGGUGAGUGGAACUCCUAGUGUAGAGGUGAAAUUCGUAGAUAUUAGGAAGAACACCAGUGGCGAAGGCGGCUCACUGGCCCGGAACUGACGCUGAGGUACGAAAGCGUGGGGAGCAAACAGG